AUUGUUGCUUGGAGAAUUUAUUUCAAAAUCUUUAAAAUUCUAGCUACCAUCCUCAGUGUUUUAUAUGCCUAAUAAAACUGAAAUUAUUAAUUAUGAUUAUAAAAGCUAUCUACUCUAUAUUGAGUUUGUUCAAAAUGAGUUAAACCCUUGUUGAGAGAUUUAUCAUGCUCCUAAGAUCAAGACAUUUAUUCAGAAAGAUUCACUCUUCCGAAGUAUUAUUGUAUUAGAGGCAUGAGCUAUGCAAAAAUAAAGAUAUUUUGAGGAAAUAAAAAGGAGCAAGUGCUCGACAACCUCGCAGAAAAAAUGGACAAGUGUCCGGC
rnacentral:lncRNA from 1 species